rnacentral:rRNA from 1 species
GACGAACGCUGGCGGCGUGCCUAAUACAUGCAAGUAGAACGCUGAAGAGAGGAGCUUGCUCUUCUUGGAUGAGUUGCGAACGGGUGAGUAACGCGUAGGUAACCUGCCUUGUAGCGGGGGAUAACUAUCGGAAACGAUAGCUAAUACCGCAUAACAAUGGAUGACACAUGUCAUUUAUUUGAAAGGGGCAAUUGCUCCACUACAAGAUGGACCUGCGUUGUAUUAGCUAGUAGGUGAGGUAAUGGCUCACCUAGGCGACGAUACAUAGCCGACCUGAGAGGGUGAUCGGCCACACUGGGACUGAGACACGGCCCAGACUCCUACGGGAGGCAGCAGUAGGGAAUCUUCGGCAAUGGGGGCAACCCUGACCGAGCAACGCCGCGUGAGUGAAGAAGGUUUUCGGAUCGUAAAGCUCUGUUGUAAGUCAAGAACGGGUGUGAGAGUGGAAAGUUCACACUGUGACGGUAGCUUACCAGAAAGGGACGGCUAACUACGUG